rnacentral:rRNA from 1 species
UGGAUGAACGCUAGCUACAGGCUUAACACAUGCAAGUCGAGGGGCAUCAGGAAGAAAGCUUGCUUUCUUUGCUGGCGACCGGCGCACGGGUGAGUAACACGUAUCCAACCUGCCCUUUACUCGGGGAUAGCCUUUCGAAAGAAAGAUUAAUACCCGAUGGCAUAAUGAUUCCGCAUGGUUUCAUUAUUAAAGGAUUCCGGUAAAGGAUGGGGAUGCGUUCCAUUAGGUUGUUGGUGGGGUAACGGCUCACCAAGCCUUCGAUGGAUAGGGGUUCUGAGAGGAAGGUCCCCCACAUUGGAACUGAGACACGGUCCAAACUCCUACGGGAGGCAGCAGUGAGGAAUAUUGGUCAAUGGGCGCUAGCCUGAACCAGCCAAGUAGCGUGAAGGAUGAAGGCUCUAUGGGUCGUAAACUUCUUUUAUAUAAGAAUAAAGUGCAGUAUGUAUACUGUUUUGUAUGUAUUAUAUGAAUAAGGAUCGGCUAACUCCGUGCCAGCAGCCGCGGUAAUACGGAGGAUCCGAGCGUUAUCCGGAUUUAUUGGGUUUAAAGGGAGCGUAGGUGGACUGGUAAGUCAGUUGUGAAAGUUUGCGGCUCAACCGUAAAAUUGCAGUUGAUACUGUCAGUCUUGAGUACAGUAGAGGUGGGCGGAAUUCGUGGUGUAGCGGUGAAAUGCUUAGAUAUCACGAAGAACUCCGAUUGCGAAGGCAGCUCACUGGACUGCAACUGACACUGAUGCUCGAAAGUGUGGGUAUCAAACAGGAUUAGAUACCCUGGUAGUCCACACAGUAAACGAUGAAUACUCGCUGUUUGCGAUAUACAGUAAGCGGCCAAGCGAAAGCAUUAAGUAUUCCACCUGGGGAGUACGCCGGCAACGGUGAAACUCAAAGGAAUUGACGGGGGCCCGCACAAGCGGAGGAACAUGUGGUUUAAUUCGAUGAUACGCGAGGAGCCUUACCCGGGCUUAAAUUGCAGUGGAAUGAUGUGGAAACAUGUCAGUGAGCAAUCACCGCUGUGAAGGUGCUGCAUGGUUGUCGUCAGCUCGUGCCGUGAGGUGUCGGCUUAAGUGCCAUAACGAGCGCAACCCUUAUCUUUAGUUACUAACAGGUCAUGCUGAGGACUCUAGAGAGACUGCCGUCGUAAGAUGUGAGGAAGGUGGGGAUGACGUCAAAUCAGCACGGCCCUUACGUCCGGGGCUACACACGUGUUACAAUGGGGGGUACAGAAGGCAGCUAGCGGGUGACCGUAUGCUAAUCCCAAAAUCCUCUCUCAGUUCGGAUCGAAGUCUGCAACCCGACUUCGUGAAGCUGGAUUCGCUAGUAAUCGCGCAUCAGCCACGGCGCGGUGAAUACGUUCCCGGGCCUUGUACACACCGCCCGUCAAGCCAUGGGAGCCGGGGGUACCUGAAGUACGUAACCGCAAGGAUCGUCCUAGGG